GGGGGCGAGGCGCGCCUGCAAACGCGCAUGCGCGGCAGGCCUGGCGCUGUCCCGCCUCUGGGUCAAGUCUGCAGCCAGCAGUUCUGUGGAUGCUACCCGCCUUUCCCACGUGGAUCUCGUUAACCUCCAAGAGCCAGGUGAGAAGAGGGUAGUGCUGUACUCAGGCCACAUGGAGACAGGCCAGUGUGCUAUGGCAAAUGCCACAAAGUCCAUGGGUCUGGCAACGAUGGGAAAAUGAAGAUGAAAACUUCUUGGAGCUCAGCUAACGGGAAAGAACUCCCCAUUUCACCUUCCUGAGCAGUGGAACCCGUGGCUCAGAAACAGCGACUGCCCAUGAAACGUCAGCUCGCAAAUACAUUCCACGGCUUAUUUGCGGAGGGAAAUGUCCUCUACCUCUUGACCUUUCAGAUAGCUAGUGAAAGCAAACAGGUCUGGAAGAAGCUAAUGGCAGCUACCGAGCCAGCAGGAAUCGGGGCCCCGGACCCCGGCUUCCCAAUGUGUUUUGGUCGUGUUUCCCUCUGUUCUCCUCAUUUUCAUACAACUGCAUUCAUGAAAACACAGAGGUUGGAAGAGGCAGGAAUUGCUGACCCCUGAUAAUCCAGGCCUGGAAACCCCAUCUGGAGUAGUCCCUACAGCCCUACAACAUGGAGAUUUGCUCAGCCUUCCACGAAAAGGAAAUCCCAGCUUAGGCCACUGUGAAUAAGUCACCCUCUUCCUUGAUUCUCAAGAAGCAAAGUUAAGCAUGAUAAAUUGCAAAGCAGAUUACGCCAGAGAAUCAGACUUCUAUGCAGGUAAUCAACACAUUUCUUUUGUCCCUAUCUGGGACCUU